rnacentral:rRNA from 1 species
CACGUAGGGCGCAAGCGUUGUCCGGAAUUAUUGGGCGUAAAGAGCUCGUAGGUGGUUUGUUACGUCUGCUGUGAAAACCUAGGGCUUAACCCUGGGCUUGCAGUGGAUACGGGCAGACUAGAGGUAGGUAGGGGAGAAUGGAAUUCCUGGUGUAGCGGUGAAAUGCGCAGAUAUCAGGAGGAACACCGAUGGCGAAGGCAGGUCUCUGGGCAUUAACUGACGCUGAGGAGCGAAAGCAUGGGGAGCGAACAGG